rnacentral:misc_RNA from 1 species
GAUGAAGAACGUAGCAAAAUGCGAUACUUGGUGUGAAUUGCAGAAUCCCGUGAACCAUCGAGUUUUUGAACGCAAGUUGCGCCCGAAGCCUUUUGGCCGAGGGCACGUCUGCCUGGGCGUCACGCAUCGCGUCGCCCCCCACAACUCUCCGUAAAGGGAACUUGUGUUUUGGGGGCGGAUAUUGGUCUCCCGUGCUCAUGGCGUGGUUGGCCGAAAUAGGAGUCCCUCCGGUGGACGCACGAACUAGUGGUGGUCGUAAAACCCCUCGUCUUUUGUUUCGUGCCGUUAGUCGCGAGGGAAACUCUUUAAAAACCCAAAUGUGUCGUCUCUUGACGGCGCUUCGACCGCGACCCCAGGUCAGGCGGGACUACCCGCUGAGUUUAAGCAUAUCAAUAAGCGGAGGA